rnacentral:rRNA from 1 species
AGUGGAAGCGUCUGGAAAGGCGCGCGAUACAGGGUGACAGCCCCGUACACAAAAAUGCACAUGCUGUGAGCUCGAUGAGUAGGGCGGGACACGUGGUAUCCUGUCUGAAUAUGGGGGGACCAUCCUCCAAGGCUAAAUACUCCUGACUGACCGAUAGUGAACCAGUACCGUGAGGGAAAGGCGAAAAGAACCCCGGCGAGGGGAGUGAAAAAGAACCUGAAACCGUGUACGUACAAGCAGUGGGAGCACGCUUAGGCGUGUGACUGCGUACCUUUUGUAUAAUGGGUCAGCGACUUAUAUUCUGUAGCAAGGUUAACCGAAUAGGGGAGCCGAAGGGAAACCGAGUCUUAACUGGGCGUUAAGUUGCAGGGUAUAGACCCGAAACCCGGUGAUCUAGCCAUGGGCAGGUUGAAGGUUGGGUAACACUAACUGGAGGACCGAACCGACUAAUGUUGAAAAAUUAGCGGAUGACUUGUGGCUGGGGGUGAAAGGCCAAUCAAACCGGGAGAUAGCUGGUUCUCCCCGAAAGCUAUUUAGGUAGCGCCUCGUGAAUUCAUCUCCGGGGGUAGAGCACUGUUUCGGCAAGGGGGUCAUCCCGACUUACCAACCCGAUGCAAACUGCGAAUACCGGAGAAUGUUAUCACGGGAGACACACGGCGGGUGCUAACGUCCGUCGUGAAGAGGGAAACAACCCAGACCGCCAGCUAAGGUCCCAAAGUCAUGGUUAAGUGGGAAACGAUGUGGGAAGGCCCAGACAGCCAGGAUGUUGGCUUAGAAGCAGCCAUCAUUUAAAGAAAGCGUAAUAGCUCACUGGUCGAGUCGGCCUGCGCGGAAGAUGUAACGGGGCUAAACCAUG